UGCAGUCGAACGAGACCUUCGGGUCUAGUGGCGCACGGGUGAGUAACGCGUGGAAACCUACCAUUCUGUACGGAAUAACGAUUGGAAACGAUCGCUAAUACCGUAUACGCCCUGUGGGGGAAAGGUCCGCCGCAGAAUGAGGGGUCCGCGUCCGAUUAGCUUGUUGGUGGGGUAAAAGCCUACCAAGGCGAUGAUCGGUAGCUGGUCUGAGAGGAUGAUCAGCCACACUGGGACUGAGACACGGCCCAGACUCCUACGGGAGGCAGCAGUGGGGAAUAUUGGACAAUGGGGGCAACCCUGAUCCAGCAAUGCCGCGUGUGUGAAGAAGGCCUUAGGGUUGUAAAGCACUUUCAAUGGUGAAGAUGAUGACGGUAGCCGUAGAAGAAGCCCCGGCUAAACUUCGUGCCAGCAGCCGCGGUAAUACGAAGGGGGCGAGCGUUGUUCGGAAUUACUGGGCGUAAAGGGCGCGCAGGCGGCCAAUCCAGUCAGGUGUGAAAGCCCCGGGCUUAACCUGGGAACUGCACUUGAUACUGAUUGGCUAGAAAACGGAAGAGGGCAGUGGAAUUUCCCAGUGUAGAGGUGAAAUUCGUAGAAUAUUGGGAAGAACACCCAGUGGCGAAAGCGGGCUGCCUGGUCCGAUUUUGACGCUGAAGCGCGAAAGCGUGGGGUAGCAAACAGGAUUAGAUACCCUGGGAGUCCACGCCGUAAACGAUGAAUGCUAGUUGUC
rnacentral:rRNA from 1 species